CGCUUUUUGUUAUACGCCGUCAAUCAUGGUGCAAUGUUAACACAUGAAAAAUAAUUCACAAUAAGAGCUUUUAGUGGGAAAAAUGAAAUAACGUUAAUUAAAAGUAGAAUUUGUGAAAAAAUGAAGUGUUUUAUAGAAAAAAUAUUGAUUGAAGUGUUAAAAUAAGUUUAAAUUGUUUUAUGAGUGCUUUGUUUUUGUUUUAAAUAAAUCUAAUAAUAGUGUGUUUGUUGUGUGUAUGCUUCAGUGGCAUAGAAUGUCUGAAUUUCUGUUUAACGCGAAGCAUCGGAGUCAAACAAACUUAAGUUGGUCAGAGGCACGCAUCUGUCGAUUGUUGGAAAUACUGUCAACGUGAGUGAGUGACUGUGUACAUCCCAACAAGUACUUAUAAAGAUGACAUUGCCCAAUAAAACUUAUGCCUUGUGUUAAGCACAUCAUGACAUUAUGGCGCUGAUGACGAUGAGGCUACUGCAGCUGCCGAUGGUAAUGAUGAUGAGGAUGAUGAUGUGUUAGUGCCACUUGACAAGUGAUGUUGUUUGGUGCUGACUCUAUAUUAGUGGAAAAACUGCAGCAGUUUUCUUAAGGAUCCCUUUUGCCUUGCUCUCGCUCUUGUUUGUACACAUUCUUAAGAAAUUAUUGUUUUAUAUUCAAUGUAAUUUUUGUUUAACUUGAUUUUUUUCUAUUAAUUAUUGAUUAUUGUCUCAAAUCGUGCUGCCACCAAAAUCUUUUCUUAUUCUUAAUGCUGUUUAUUUCGUUAUCACGUUUAAGUAUGAAAUGCUUGUUUUAUUCUUGAUUUCUCAAUUUCUUUGUAAAUA